GCCGUGACUUGAGAAGCAAAAGAAAAGAAGAAAUCGGUUCUUCUUAGCUGAAAUGAAAAGAAGAAGAAAGGAAUGAAGCUAGAAAGGAGAGGGCAGCUGCAUGUAGUGGAAAACCAUGGAAUUUGUUUGCUUAGAAGUUAAAAUUUUCAAGUAGAAGGCUAACAAGGUAGGAGAAGGUGGUAGUAGACAAGGGAAAGAGCAAAUUGAAUAGGUGGAAUCGGUGUUGGGAACCUUGAUUUUGCUCGUUAGCUAUCGGAUUCGGGAUCAUUGAAGUCGAAGUCAUCCACACUAUCAAAGCCCCCAUUUUGGUACAAUUUUGGUUGAACUUUGAAAUGGCAUGUAUAGGACUACCCUUUUGUUGUAGGUUAUGUACCUUUCGGUUUUGUGUAAAUUCGGAUAGCCAUGCGAAAAUGGCUUAUAUACGUUUCUAGCAUAGUACUAUAAUCGUUUGUAUGUUGAUCAUUAUGAGGUAUGGAAUUGUUUUGAAACGAUUAGCCAUUGGAAUGGUUAAUCAUGAUCA